rnacentral:ribozyme from 13 species
GUGAAAAAAAAAAAAAAAAAAAAAAAAAAAAAAAAAAAAAAAAAA